AGACAAAUUAUAUUAUUUUGUCUGUGUUCCUAAUUGAAUGGUGGGGUUUGGAAUAGGAGGAUCAAAUGACUAGUUAGUGCCCGAAUAGUAACAGUACCAAACAAAUUGGGAUAGUGGGAGUAUGCGUCAAAGCUCGAAAGCCUUUUUAUUAAAGAGAAUGAAAUCGUGAAGAUCUUUAAUAGAUUACUCCACGUGUUGUUUUUCCAAUUUAGCCUGUAUUACUUGAAGUUAUCGGAUAUUUGUUGGGUUAAGCAAA
rnacentral:misc_RNA from 1 species